rnacentral:rRNA from 1 species
AACUACCUCAUAAUGCAGCGGAUCCGCAUGGAUAUGUUGUUAAAGGUUUACCGCCUUGGGAUAGGCUUGCGUCUGAUUAGCUAGUUGGUGUGGUAACGGCACACCAAGGCUACGAUCAGUAACUGGUCUGAGAGGAUGAUCAGUCACACUGGAACUGAGACACGGUCCAGACUCCUACGGGAGGCAGCAGUGAGGAAUAUUGGGCAAUGCUCGAAAGAGUGACCCAGCAACGCCGCGUGGAGGAUGAAGGUAUUCUAUAUCGUAAACUCCUGUGAGAGCAGACGAAAGACAGAUUAUUAAUCUGGAUGGCUGUAUGCUCAGAGGAAGCCCCGGCUAACUACGUG